UACGGGGGGGGCAAGCGUUGUUCGGAAUUACUGGGCGUAAAGGGCUCGUAGGCGGCCAACUAAGUCGGACGUGAAAUCCCCAGGCUCAACCUGGGAACUGCGUCCGAUACUGGAUGGCUUGAAUUCGGGAGAGGGAUGCAGAAUUCCAGGUGUAGCGGUGAAAUGCGUAGAUAUCUGGAGGAAUACCGGUGGCGAAGGCGGCAUCCUGGACCGGCAUUGACGCUGAGUGAGCGAAAGCCAGGGGAGCAAACGGG
rnacentral:rRNA from 1 species